rnacentral:misc_RNA from 1 species
AAGUCGUAACAAGGUAACCGUAGGUGAACCUGCGGUUGGAUCAUUAAAAAAAAUAAAAAGUUUUAGAACUUUUUUUGAUGCCCAUCUCUUCAAGGAGAUGUGGGAUUAAACAUAUUUGUGCACUUAAAUUAUUGUAAUGGGGUUUUUCAUUUGAAGAACCUUUUAUAAGGUUUUGGAAUUUUUGAUGGAUUUUCUUCCAUCUGCCAAAACCUUAUUUUUUUAACAUUUUUAAAAAAUUUUGUCUUUAAAUCUUUUUUAUAUUAAAAAUAAAAAAACAACUUUUGACAACGGAUCUCUAGGUUCUC